rnacentral:rRNA from 1 species
UCGAGAAUAUUUAGCAAUGGACGAAAGUCUGACUAUGCGACGCCGCGUGCAGGAUGAAGGUCUUCGGAUCGUAAACUGCUUUUGUUAGGGGAGAAACCUGUAUCAUUAAUAGUGAUACAGCUGACGGUACCUGGCGAAUAAGCCACGGCAAACUCUGUGCCAGCAGCCGCGGUAAUACAGAGGUGGCAAGCGUUACUCGGAAUUAUUGGGUGUAAAGGGCAGGUAGGUGGCCCAGCAAGUGAGAGGUGAAAUCCCACGGUUCAAUCGUGGAACUGCCUUUUAAACUGCUAGGCUUGAGAGAAACAGAGGAAGAUGGAAUUUCCGGUGUAAGGGUGAAAUCUGUAGAUAUCGGAAAGAACACCAACGGCGAAGGCAAUCUUCUGGGUUUUCUCUGACACUGAGCUGCGAAAGCUAGGGUAGCAAACAGA